rnacentral:lncRNA from 1 species
UCAAAGGUAGGAAUCACUGACAUUAUCUAUCCUAGGGCGUUUGUUCGAUGUGUAUAUUACACUAACAAGCUGUGAUAAUAUAUAUAUGUCAUGUUUUAAUUGUCCAUGUAUAAUUAUAGUAUCAUUCACUAUAAUAUCACAAAAAUCAUCUUUUAUUAAAAAUUUAAAAUCAAGUUUGGCCAAAAGGCCUACAGAGAUGACAUUUAUCAAAAAGAAAGGAC